UGUCAGGGAAAGAUCUGACUUCCUGCUACGAGCAAGCAGAGCAUAAAGAUAAGAGAGACCGGUGCGGGGAAGGAGUACCUCAGCCAAGAAAAUUAUGCAUGCGUUAGGGAAGCUGUGAGAGAAUGGCUGUGGAAGCUCUCCACUGCGGUUUGAAUCCACAGGGUAUUGAUCAUCCUGCUCAUACUGAAGGCAUUAAACUGCAAAUUGAAGGUGAAGGUGUUGAGUCUCAACCCAUUAAAAAGAAACAUUUCCAGAAGGUGCUUGACCAAAAAGGAACCCCCAAGCGACUGCAGGCAGAAGCUGAGACGGCUAAGUCAUCUACGGUGAAGCUGUCAAAACCAGUGGCUCUGUGGACUCAGCAGCAUGUCUGCAAGUGGGUGAAGAAACAUUGUCCGAAUCAGUAUCAGAUCUACAGCGAGUCAUUCAAACAGCAUGACAUAACUGGGCGAGCUUUGCUGAGACUUACUGACAAAAAGCUUGAGCGAAUGGGGAUUGCCCAGGAAAACCUCCGGCAGCACAUCUUGCAACAGGUGCUCCAGCUGAAGGUGCGGGAAGAAGUCAGAAACCUACAGUUACUCACACAAGCCUCAAUCGACGGUUCUCCAUAAACGUGGUGAGCCUUCCAAGAUACUCUCCUGCCAGUGGAUAUGAACAUGACCUGCUCCUCCCAGAGAGACUAACUCAUGGCCCUGCCAGACGAUCCCCUUGGAGCAUUGACAGAUUAGCCAGAUUAACUGCGGGGGAAAGCACCCAUCCAGUCAAGCUGAUGGGCUUUGGAAAAUCUUAGCUUGCCGUAGAUUUGAAAUCGAGGUGCAUUACAUGCAGUGCCCACUCGCUGCAAGUGGUCAUCGGCAGACGACUAGCUGGAAAAUUGCUUCCAGUUUUCAUCACUGUGCAUCACUCCGGGCCCCUUCGGGGAGCUGUCUGUGCCCCUCCCUGGAAGUCCUGUUUCCGCAUGGCAACUACUGGAUUCUCUUACUAUGUGUGCAGAUGGCAUGAUGUGUUAGACAACAAUUACAGCAGUUUUGCA